AAAUGAUGAAAUGGAAUGAUGAAAAAUGAAAUGAUGACAUAAAAUGGUGAAAUGAAAUGAAAUGAAAUAAUGAAGUGAAAUGAAAUGAAAUGAUGAAAUGAUGAAAUGAAAUGAAAAGAUGAAAUGAUGAAUUGAGGAAAUGUAUGAAAUGAUGAAAUGAAACGAAAUGAAGUGAAUGAUGAAAUGACGAAAAAAUGAAAUUAAAUGAUGAAUUGAUGAAAUGAAAUGAUGAGAUGAAAAGGUGAAAAGAAACGAAAUGAUUAAAUGAAAUGAGGAGACGAAAAGAUGAAAUGAAAUGAUGAGAUGAAAUGAAAUGAUGUGAUGAAAUGAUGAGAUGAAGUGAAAUGAUGAAAUGAAAUGAUGAGAUGAAAUGAAAUAAUGCAAUGAAAGAUGAUAUGAUGAGAUGAAGUGAAAUGAUGAAAUGAUGAAAUGUGAUGAAAUGGAAUGAUGAAAUGAUGAAAUGAAAUUGUGAAAUGAAAUGAGGAAAUGAAAUGGAAUGAUGAAAUGAAAUGAAAAGAUCAAAUGGUGAAGUGAAGAAAUGAUAUGAAAUGAUGAAAUGAAAUGA
rnacentral:lncRNA from 1 species